UCGCUGUGAUGAUGUUUAUUCCUGCCAUUCGUAGUUUCCACCAGAGGUCGAUAGACCAAAGAUGGCCCAACACCUUCCUUGGAUGUCUGAGCGA
ensembl:snoRNA SNORD14 Small nucleolar RNA SNORD14